rnacentral:misc_RNA from 1 species
UAUCCACUUAUUAGUGAGCACAUAUCAA